UAACAUGCCAACCUUGCCUAAAAUCUAGCCAUACUACCACUCAACAAGCUCACAGCAACAAAGACUAGCUAACCACAGGAAGCUAAGGCCGCAACUCAGCCGGACGCGCCGCCACACGCCGCCACAAGCGGCGGCGAGUGGGCCCCACGCGCCACCCCAAACUUCCGAAUUAGGAGAAACUCCCAACAGCAAAGUUAAAGCUUGAAGCAAGGGGAACAACUUUCAUACCUGUGACUUCGACCAAUUUUGGCCGGAACUGGCCGGAAACUUCCCCGAACAGUGACCAGAAAAUCACUCUACAAAACCGGCCUCAAAACCUCAAAAACUUGCUUCAACUAUGCCUAGACACUGCUAGGAGGAAGAGGGGAUCAAGACUCACCUAAACUUGGCCGGAAACGGCGUCGAAAUCGCCGGUUUUCCGGCGGGACAGCAGCAGCUCCGCCGCUUCGUGGUGGCUUCCAAGCGGCGGGACAGCCGGCGGGACUGCUCCAGAAAUGGAGAGGGCUGCUGUGGGAGUCGAAUGGGACCGGUGGCGUCCGGUUUGGUGGCCGGAGGAGGAAGAACUCGGCUGAAGAAAGUGAAGGCUCAGGGAGCUCGGGUGGGAGGAGAGAGAGAGGAGGGAAACUGAUUUUUAGGGUUCUAAUUAAUCCCACACACAAUUUUUCUACUUAUACUCUUUUCAAACCCGAAAACAAACUUCCUCUGAACAUAACUUCUUCAUACGACAUCCGUUUUAGACGUGCCGCAUGUCUACGAACUCGUAUCGACAAGCUCUACAACUUUCAUGAAGGAAGUUUUCGAAGAUAACUUACGAAAAAUAAAGUCAACUUUUGGCCUAUUAAAAGUCAAGGCAACUUUAAAUAAACUCCCGAACUUCAACUUCGCAUAAACCCAAGAAUUUUCAUGAAUAAUCCUUCAUUAAAAUAAGGGAAUAAAACAAGAAAAAAUAGAUAUGAAAAUCUAGGAUAUUACAAUCUACCCCCCUUAAAGGAAUUUCGCCCCGAAAUUCAAAGAUACUAACCCAAAAACAACUUGGGGUACUUAGCCCUCAUAUCCGACUCUAACUCCCAAGAUGCAUCACCCUCAUCAUGGUGACUCCAACACACCUUAACCAAAUCGACCUCCUUCCUUCGAAGCCUCUUGGUUGAUCUAUCCAAGAUUCGAACCGGUUCAACAACAAAGGUUGCAUCCGCAUUCACCUUGAUAGAACUAUAAUCAAUCACAUGAGAUGCAUCCGGAACAUACUUCCUCAAUAAGGACACAUGAAACACAUUGUGUACCCCGGACAUGGUAGGAGGUAAGGCAAGCCGAUAAGCCAAAUCUCCUACUUUCUCUAAAAUCUCAAAAGGCCCCACAUACCUAGGAGCCAACUUCCCCUUCUUGCCAAAUCUCACCACCCCUUUAGUAGGUGAGACUUUCAAGAACACAUGAUCCCCAACAUCAAACUCUACUUGCCUCCUCUUCAAGUCGGCAUAGCUCUUUUGCCUGCUUUGCGCCGUUCGGAUCCUAUCUCGGAUAAUAGAGACCUUCUCAGUCGUCUCUUGAACAAUAUCAGGACCCAACAGCUCACUAUCACCCACCUCCGCCCAACAAAUAGGUGAUCUACACGGCCUCCCAUAGAGUGCCUCAGAAGGUGCCAUGCCGAUACUAGAGUGAUAGUUAUUAUUGUAGGCAAACUCAAUCAAUUGGAGGUGAUCCUCCCAACUUCCCUUGAAGUCCAUGACACAAGCCCUCAGCAUAUCUACUCCAGAAAUGGAGAAGGCUGCUGUGGGAGUCGAAUGGGACCGGUGGCGUCCGGUUUGGUGGCCGGAGGAGGAAGAACUCGGCUGAAGAAAGUGAAGGCUCGGGGAGCUCGGGUGGGAGGAGAGAGAGAGGAGGGAAACUGAUUUUUAGGGUUCUAAUUAAUCUCACACACAAUAUUUCUACUUAUACUCUUUUCAAACCCGAAAACAAACUUCCUCUGAACAUAACUUCUUCAUACGACAUCCGUUUUAGACGUGCCAUAUGUCUACGAACUCGUAUCGACAAGCUCUACAACUUUCAUGAAGGACGUUUUCGAAGAUAACUUACGGAAAAUAAAGUCAACUUUUGGCCUAUUAAAAGUCAAGGCAACUAUUAAAAGUCAAGGCAACUUUAAAUAAACUCCCGAACUUCAACUUCGCAUAAACCCAAGAAUUUUCAUGAAUAAU
rnacentral:lncRNA from 1 species